CCUACGGGAGGCAGCAGUGAGGAAUAUUGGUCAAUGGACGCAAGUCUGAACCAGCCAUGCCGCGUGCAGGAAGACGGCUCUAUGAGUUGUAAACUGCUUUUGUACGAGGAUAAACGCAGAUACGCGUACCUGUCUGAAAGUAUCGUACGAAUAAGGAUCGGCUAACUCCGUGCCAGCAGCCGCGGUAAUACGGAGGAUUCAAGCGUUAUCCGGAUUUAUUGGGUUUAAAGGGUGCGUAGACGGUCGGAUAAGUAAGAUGUGAAAGUUCGCGGCUCAACUUCGGAAUUGCACUUGAUACUGGUCGGCUAGAGAGUAGUUGCGGUAGGCGGAAUGUAUGGUGUAGCGGUGAAAUGCUUAGAGAUCAUACAGAACACCGAUUGCGAAGGCAGCUUACCAAGCUACUUCUGACGUUGAGGCACGAAAGCGUGGGGAGCAAACAGGAUUAGAUACCCCAGUAGUC
rnacentral:rRNA from 1 species